AAUCAACGCUGGCGGCGUGCCUCAGACAUGCAAGUCGAACGCGAAAGCCCCCGUUCGGGGGCAAGUAGAGUGGCGCACGGGUGAGUAACACGUAGGUAAUCUACCUUUGGAUGGGGAAGUAACAACCGGAAACGGUUGGCUAAUACCGCAUAAUGCAGCGGCACCUAAAUGGGUGACAGUUGUUAAAGCGGGGGAUCGAAAGACCUCGCGUCUGAAGAGGAGCCUGCGGCGGAUUAGCUAGNGGUAA
rnacentral:rRNA from 1 species